CACAUGUUUCUACGAACCUGGUUUCUUUCUGGUAAUCCCCAGCAUUAGGAGGAUCGGUGCUGCGAGGGACUCGAAGAUGGCCACACGACUGCCUUUGGAUUUUAUUUAUGUUUUAGAUUCCGUUUUGGGUUUUCAACUUUUGUAAUAAGGCCUCUUAAAGUUUCUGGAUUUUAAA